AUUAAACUUCAAAGAGCCCUUUAAUCCUGCAGUAUGGGUGAGGCAGAGAGCUCCCCUCCAAACCGGGCAAAAUCCUCCCCUCACGUUCUAGAUCCUCCAAAUCGGGCAGUUUUACCCAAAAAUUGAUUUUCUGGUUGUUUUCUCCUCCCCAAGAAGACACUGUUAGGCAGGCGUCCCUCUCCAGGGUCUCUGACAAGGACCUGCUGGCCAUGGCACUGAUGGCUGCCCAUGAGAGAUGCAACCCCCUGCCCUGUCAGUCCUUAAUUAGAGCCUUAACGAAGCCCUGCCUUAAUUAGGGCCCUAACACCCUCCCAGCCAAGUAGGGGUCCUAAUGAUUAGGACCCCUGGUAAUUAAGUGGGGGUCCCUAAUGAAGCCCCUCUAAUAAAGCAGGGGGUUCUCUGGAUAUUCUUGCUAAUGAAGUCAGGGUCUCUAAUUAAGCAAGGAACCUUAAUGAUGCCUCAAUUAAUGAAGUAGGGAAUCCUAAUGAUGCCCCACUAAUGAAGUGAGAGGUGUUAAUGAUGUUCCUAAUAAUGCAGGGGGGCCCUAAUGAUGUUCCUAAUAAUUAAGUGGGGGCCCUAAUGAUGCUCCCCCAGUCAAGCAGGGGCUCUAAUCAAGCAGGGCCUUAAUGAUGCCCCUGCUGAUAAAGCAGGUCCCUAAUUAAUCCCAGAGGUGCUCAAACCUCAGAGUCCUGCUCCCAUUACCCAAAAUCCC
rnacentral:lncRNA from 1 species